rnacentral:snoRNA from 1 species
GUGUACAACAGCUGCAAACAUCAGCCUCCUUGGUAGUGUACACAGCCUGUGGCUUGUAUAGGCUGCCUUAAGGCACCUUGGAGAUGGCC